GGGGGUGAAAUUUCCGAGGGUUCCACCACCCUCCAUCCAGUUUUCCGGACCCCAAAAAGUGUUUUAUAGCAUAUUAGGAGGUCACCGGAAUUCAUUCAACAAAAAGAAAAAAAAUUUCCAAUGAUUUCCGGAUAUGGGGGAGGUUUCGGCCCCCCCACCCUUUCCGAACCAAAAUAAGGGAUUUGCAGCAUAUUAGGAGGUUAGGGUACUUGAUUCCACACAUAAGAUCCGAGUUUUUUUUUUCCUGAGUGAAAAUCGUGCGGGUGAAAGGAUCAAAAUUUACCAUGUGCUAUUCGGGAAGAAUUCUCUGCGUGACUUCCUUUUUAGUGUUGCUUGUCAGCUAAAUUGACAUCAUGGUUGUAGAGUGAGUAUAUUUUAAGUUCAUACAUUAAAUACAUCAACUUUGUAUAAUUUCCCAGCAUCAGUUUAUCUUUUUGUGGCAUCCACACUUAAAUAUUGGCAACCUUUUAAAAAUACUUGCAUGCGAAAUCUAUAACGUAAAACAUUUUAAUCAAAUGAAUCAGAAUUACUGAAUAAUGUUUAUGUGGCACUGAAAUACAUCCAGAAGCACGAGCAGAAUAAGAAGUGCGUUAUUUUUUUGAGGAUUAUUAAAAAGACAUUUAAAGUUGAUCAAUAACAUAAACCAGUUUUGUAAAUCUUAUAUUCAGUGUACUUGAGUGUCAUGGACUUUAGUGGUUCUGUGUAUAGACAUGUAGCUGUUAUACUCCGAGAGAAGUUUCUCUUCAAGGGAUGGAACAAUCAUUUAACGUGUCUUCUCUCUCUGAUCAUUCGAACUGCUAGAAGUAGUAGGCACCUUCAUUAUUCGAAGGGAUGGGCAUAUGGAAUAUUGGUUGUCCUGGACACGUUCUUUGAAUCAGAAAUAUUUGUUCUGCACAGGCUGUCCCGAUUGUUAAAGGCGACACCUUAAUUUUCAAACAGAAUUAUUGUUUUACAUGUCCUACUUGACUUAAUAUUCUGAACAUUAAAUACCUCAAAUGUUUAUGAUUUAUCGCUGCUCAGUGUUACUGGUGAUGGAGCAACUGUUCAGCUUUAUUUCGGUGUUGUGUGUUGAAACUGGUGAAAGUAAAAAAUACGCACACCCAGUGUUUAGGGUUUUUGUUAGGCCGAAAACGGGUGUUGUACGUAUUCUUUGCCACCAGUGGUUUAUAAGAUGGGUAGAAUUUUCCAUUCAACAAUUAGAUUUUAGAAGCUAGA
rnacentral:lncRNA from 1 species